CCAUAUGAUGACCACACCGACACCUUAGGGAUUCCUCAUACUUAAUACAUAAUGUGGAUUCUGUUGUUUUGUUUCAGCCUUGUCUGAUU
rfam:Stachybotrys chartarum IBT 40288 unplaced genomic scaffold scaffold991, whole genome shotgun sequence.